AACGAACGCUGGCGGCAUGCCUAACACAUGCAAGUCGAACGAGACCUUCGGGUCUUGUUGCGCUCGGGGGCGUACCGCGUGGGAACCUGCGCUUAGGUUCGGUAUCACUUCCCGAAGGGGGUCCUAAUACCGGAUAAUGUAAUCCGACCAAAGAUUUAUCGCCUUUGGAUGGGCGUGCGUUAGAUUCGAGAGUUGGUAUAGUAAAAGCCUAUCAAGGCGACGAUCCAUAGCUGGUACGAGCGGAUGAUCAGCCACACUGGGAGUGGGACACGGCCGAGACUCUUACGGGAGGAAGCAGGGGUGAAUAUGGGACAAUGGGCGAAAGACUGAGCCAGCAAUGUCGCGUGAGUGAUGAAGGAGUGAGGGUUGUAAAGCUGUGUGAAAAGGGAUGAUAAUGACAGUACCGGGAGAAUAAGCGCCGGCUAACUACGUG
rnacentral:rRNA from 1 species